rnacentral:pre_miRNA from 1 species
UUUAACUCUUCGUCUUAUUUGAAUUUUUUAAGAUUAAUAUUUUUAUUGUUAUCACAUGAUAAAACAUAACUAGUAUUUUACGCGUGACUAUUUUUUUCAACUUUUUUAUAAAUUUUUUAAAUAAGACGGAUAGUUAAA